CCCCAUAGUCUGGGAUACCACUUGGAAACAGGUGCUAAUACCGGAUAAGAAAGCGGAUCGCAUGAUCAGCUUUUAAAAGGCGGCGUAAGCUGUCGCUAUGGGAUGGCCCCGCGGUGCAUUAGCUAGUUGGUAAGGUAAAGGCUUACCAAGGCGAUGAUGCAUAGCCGAGUUGAGAGACUGAUCGGCCACAUUGGGACUGAGACACGGCCCAAACUCCUACGGGAGGCAGCAGGC
rnacentral:rRNA from 1 species